rnacentral:rRNA from 1 species
GCUUAGCCCUAAACUUAGAUAGUUCCCCAAACAAAUCUAUCCGCCAGAGAACUACUAGCAACAGCUUAAAACUCAAAGGACUUGGCGGUGCUUUAUAUCCCUCUAGAGGAGCCUGUUCUAUAAUCGAUAAACCCCGAUACACCUCACCACCUCUUGCUAAAUCAGUCUAUAUACCGCCAUCUUCAGCAAACCCUAAAAAGGAAGAACAGUAAGCAUAAACAUCUUAACAUAAAAAAGUUAGGUCAAGGUGUAACCCAUGAGGUGGGAAGUAAUGGGCUACAUUUUCUAUAUGUAGAACACCCCUUUCACGAAAGUUCUUAUGAAACUAAGAACCAAAGGAGGAUUUAGUAGUAAAUUGAGAACAGAGUGCUCAAU